UUGUUGGCACUCAAGCCCACUGUCCAGGUUCCUUUCUUCACGGGGGCCCAGUGUGUAAUGGCUGCAAACCUCAGCCUCCUUGAGAAUGUAUGCAGCCUGUUGCAUAUGUGGGCUGCCCUAAGGAACCCUGGAGACAGUU
ensembl:snoRNA SNORA70 Small nucleolar RNA SNORA70